rnacentral:pre_miRNA from 2 species
UCUCAUGUAUGAGCAAAGGAAGUGGUUUCUUCAGAUGGAAUCUAUUCCUGCUGAAAAUGUUGUGAA